rnacentral:lncRNA from 1 species
AGCAGAACCCUGAGGCACUUACACCAGUGCUCAAAGCUCUGGAAGAGGCAGGAUCAGCGAGUGCUCUUGAGGCGAGGAAUUCAACAGCCAUUUUGGAGGUUUCCCUCAGGCUGAUGGAGGAAGAAUUCUAGCUGAGGAAAAGAAUAAACUUAAGGGCUGGAGAGAUGGCUCAGUGGUUAAGAGCACUGGCUGCUCUUCCAGAGGUCUGAGUUCAAUUCCCAGCAAGCUCAUGGUGGCUUACAACCAUCUGUAAUUGGAUAUGAUGCCCUCUUCUGGUGUGUCAGCAACAGCAUGCUCAUAGAUAGAUAGAUAGGUAGGUAGAUAGAUAGAUAGAUAGAUAGAUAGAUAGAUAGAUAGAUAGAUAGAUAAUAAAUUUAAGGAUCCAGAGGUAGGAAAGCCUUCUGUACCUGGCAACUGAAAACUGGGAGUUCAUUUCCUGAUGAAGGUGUAUAGGUGUGAACCAAGUGCACGUCUAGUUCCCUUGGAGGCCAGAAAGAAGGCGGUGUCAGAUCCCCAGGAACCAUAGUUACAGAUGGUUGAUGUGGAAACUCAGAGAGGAUGCCACUGUUUUGAACUAUUUUGAAGGCACAGCCACCAGAGCUUUAGGUGAGUGACUCUAUGCUUAUAGGCCCAAAUGUAUCUUCACCCCCUCUCACUCCCUGCGCUGUACAGUUUCCCAUUACCCAACAUGCACUUCUGUUAGCAGCUGACUCUUUCCUAAACCUAUUCCUCCAGGGACUUACUUAGCUAGACAACCAGCUUUUCAGUUUCUUCCUUAUUUUCCUACCUAACUUUAUUAAAUUAAAUUGUUUAUUUUUUGAGACAGGGUCUCACCUUGUAGCCCUGAAUGACUUGGAAUUUGCUGUGUAGACCAGGUUGGCUUUGAACUCACAAUUCUCCAUCUGCCUCUGUUCCCAAAUGCUGGGAUUAACAGUCUAUGUCACACAUACCUAGUCUUCCUUCCUAGCUUUCUAUUUUCAGGAAAUGUCUCUUGGGACUCAGUCUAUCAAGACAGGGGUGGAAGUGGAGCUGGCCAGUGGAGUGUUGGGACAAAGCUCUGAGUGGAGCCCUCGAGUUUAAAACGGAAUCUUAGAGAGGACGUGUUUACUCCUGCAUUAUAGAGCACGGACGCUCAUGACUCAGUUUGAUUUUCAUACACCGUUCUGCUCAUCACUGCCAAGUGGAGCAAUCCAGGCCUCUCAAAAUGUGCCAUACUACCUUCCAGCUAAAAGCUUUCUGUGGGGCUGGCGAGAUGGCUCAGCGGGUAAGAGCACCCGAUUGCUCUUCCGAAGGUCCAGAGUUCAAAUCCCAG